rnacentral:rRNA from 1 species
CACGUAGUUAGCCGGGGCUUCUUAGUCAGGUACCGUCCAGACGGGCCCCGCCCGCCUUUCUUCCCUGCCGAUAGGGCUUUACGCACCGAGGUGCUCCUUCACCCACGCGGCGUCGCUGCAUCAGGGUUCCCCCCAUUGUGCAAUAUUCCCCACUGCUGCCUCCCGCAGGAGUCUGGGCCGUGUCUCAGUCCCAGUGUGGCCGUCCGCCCUCUCAGGCCGGCUACCGAUCGUCGCCUUGGUGGGCCGCUGCCCCGCCAACAAGCUAAUCGGACGCGGGCCCAUCGCGCACCGUCCGGGUCGCCCCGGGCUUUCCCCGCGGGGCCAUGCGGCCCCGCGGGACUAUGCGGUAUUAGCGGCCGUUUCCGGCCGUUGUCCCCCUGUGCGCGGCAGGUUGCCCACGCGUUACUCACCCGUCCGCCACUGGCCGCGCCUUCACUAGGUUUCAGGCGCGGCCCGUUCGACUUGCAUGUGUUAGGCACGCCGCCAGCGUUCAUCCUGACGCCAGGAUCGAAACUCU